rnacentral:lncRNA from 1 species
AAUUGGCUUGCAUUGCACCUUCCUACCCAAGCAGCUUGGUUUUCUUUCGCUUUGACCCUGUAAUUUCUUUCCCACUUCGUUGUCGUCUCUGAAUUACCUUUCUCUUGAUUCUUGCCCAUUAGCAUCCUCCAAUUUCAGAUGUUUGUAGAUCCCCAAGUGUUCCCAGGGAAAACUACUAGAAAAGGCACUAUCUAUGGACUGAGAAGAGAAGGACUUUAAAACAGUGGUAAAGAAAGCAACAAAGACAAUGACUGGCAAGACAGAAGAAUUGUGCAGAGAAAGAGGAACACUGUGACCCGAUCAAGGACGAAAUGAUUCCCAACCUCCUUAGAGCCUUGCUGGUGCCGAGAUGUCUGUGAUCAUCAGUCACCUCUUCAUCCCAACUCCCUUCUAUUCCCCCCACCCUUAACAUAAAAAGAGCCUGAAAUGUGUACUGACUUAUUUUAGGAUGCAAGUCCACCAUCUUCUUGGUUUACUGGCUUUCCAAAUAAACUGGUUGUUUCUCCCACCAACUCAUGUCUCUCGUGUUUAGCUUUUGAGCAGUGAGUAGCUGAAUCUGGGUUUGGUUACAGUUUUAUGGCACCCAAUGUGGGGCUGUGUGCCUUGGGUGUCCUAGCCUGCGGGAUUUCCAAUGGAUGGAGCAAUCGGCCACAGCAGUGUCCCAGGAAUUACCAUUCACACUAUCAGGCAGAUCAACAACCAGUCAAGAGUGCCAGUUGCUCAUGGCUAGCUGACACCAUGACUGGAAUUCCAGAGACAUCCCAGCAGCUGCCAAUAAUGCUUUUGUCUCAGAGAUUCUCCCUUCUUUCUUCCUUCUUCUUGGUAUCAGCUGCCUGUAAAGCUUUGCUGGUGCCAGGAAAAGAAGUAUUGACAGGCUCCAAGACUGUACCCAGAAUGAUACAAAUUUGAAGUCCUACAAAACUGGAUUCUCAAGUAAAGAAUAGAAAUAAUACUGGAGCAGUGAAAUUACAGAUAAAAAUCCUAUGCAGUAUUUCUUAAUGGGAGGUGGGUGAUUUUGCCCUCCAGGAGACAUUGGACAAUGUCUGGAGACGUGUUUGGUUGGCCGGAUUGGAGAAAGUACUACUGGCCUCUAGGAGGCAGAGGUCAGAGAUGUUGCUAAAAUACGCAAGACAGUCCUGCACGACCAAGAAUCAUCUGAUCUAAAGUGUCAAUAGCUCCAAGAUUGAGAACCCUUGGUCUGUGUACUGAGAACGCCAGACAGAAGAUAUCAGUGCUGAUACAGGAUAUAACCAUUCUGACAUGAACUGGAAUAAAUAAAAAAAUUAGAUGUAGAUUAUCCCUAAUUGCAGGAGCAGAUGAUUGAGAACAGGUAUGAUGGCAGGAGACAACGAAACCAGAAUUAGCAAAUCUAUUUUCCUAACAUUUCUGCCUGAAAUUUUGACUAAUAUCCCAGUAAGAGAAGACUGAUAGGUAACAUUGAAUUUACACUGGCAUCAUGCUGCUCUGUAAUAUGCUGUUGCUACAUCUUUGUCUUUCUAAGUCCACUUGGAAACAGGAGCUAAUAAUCCUUUAUAGAGGUAUUACAAAGAUUUCAAAAGUCCCCAGUACUCGUUCCUUAUAGAGUUCAUUAUACUGUGUUAAAACUGGGAUGGGCCGGGCGUGGUGGCUCAGGCCUGUAAUCCCAACACUUUGGGAGGCAGAGGCAGGCGGAUCACGAGGUCAGGAGAUCGAGACCAUCCUGGACAAAUGGUGAAACCCUGUCUCUACUAAAAUGUACAAAAUUAGCGGGGCAUGGUGGCAUGUGCUUGUAGUCCCAGCUACUUGGGAGGCUGAGGUAGGGGAAUCACUUGAACCCAGGAGGCGGAGGUUGCAGUGAGCCAAGAUCGUGCCACUGCACUCUAGCCUGGUGACACAGCAAGACUCCAUCUCAAAAUAAAAAAGCAAAAAACAAACAAACAAACAAAAAACAAAAAAAAUACUGGGAUGGUAUGAGAGGCAUUAGUUGAAGUGCCUCCUUCCCAUCUCAUACUUCCACACAAGUAUGUUACCCUAGAAGGCUAACAAUCAAUGUCUGAAGGAGAGAAACUAUGUAGAAGAGUGCCUAUGGCGGAAGGUGUUUGCUUUGUUUUGCUUUGCUUUGCUUUUCACCUUCCUCUUAGAUCAGGUAAGAGCUUCCAAGAGGAGUGGAAGAAGAGAACCUACGGAGUCAACAUUGACAGAAUGUCACCCUGGUAUGGGAAGACUUGGGUCUUGUUCUCCUUUAGGUCAAGUGGGUGAUGGAGCAAGGAAGGUAGAGAGAAAAGUAGUAGACCGCUACAUAAGAGUGCUGAUCCAAGACGAAAAAAGAAUGGCCCACUGCACAUCUGGAACUCCUAGAAGCAGUUGCCUCGCAUGUGAUCCUAGUGCCAGAGUGCAAUGGAGCUGGAGAAUAGAGAUGGCAGCAUGAGAUGCAGGUCACAGUUGGGUAACCUGAGGCAACCCCAGAACUUUCUACAGCCUCAUGAUUUAAAAUCCAAUUCAGACAGAAGGGAGCAAGAUGAAACCCUGAACUUAACUGAGUUUAAACCUCAAAUGCUUGAGAGAAACUUCAGAAAUAACUAAAAUCACCUGAAUGUAAAUAAAUCACAUUUUCAAGUUUAUAGAUUGUAAAAAUCACACACUACACAUGUAUGGUUUCUGUACUUCUCAGCUAAUCUUUUGUAUUGUCUUGCUGAAGUCUCAAAUUAAAAAAUAAAUGUGACCCAGCAACAAGAAUCUUCAGGUAUUUUUCAAAGCAAGGCACAAGUAGAACAGAAUAAUAUUUUUAGGAAACGUCUUGGUCCCUAGAGAAGGUGGAAGAGAGAAUCAAUGCCCUGCUUAAAAGACAAGCUGACUGAGUAGUCCCUGGCAGAUUAAACUUUGAAGAGCAAAUUGUCAGGCUUAUAUAGCCAGCUGUCCUAUUUAAAGCUUUAACAAAUAAUUUGCUGAACGACAUACUAGCCUGUAUAUGGCAGCAUACCAGGAACAGGACACAAAGAGGUAUAAGAAUGUUGCUCCACUCCAAGGUACACACACGAACCUCUCCUAUUUGAAUUACAGUAUAAAGCGCCUAAAACACCUACAGAGAUAAUAUUCCUUGUCUUACAUGGAUUCUAAUGAAAACAAAGAGGUCAAAGCCUUGAACUUGAUAGACUUGAACCAAUUUGAAAUAGAAAGUAGAGAUAAUUUUAUCUCAAUAGCUCUAAUAAUAAGGCUGAGGCAUUCAGCACCAGCUGCAAGCUAUUUUGCCGCUAAUACCAACCAUAAAUACAAAGAAUAGCAAUACCUAUAGAAUAGUAGAGUUGACUGAUGCCAGGCACCUAGACAAAAUGCAAUGUCGGAACUCUUUUAAUCUUCCUGUAAACAUGUUCCACCUUUGUUUAUACCAUUUCAGUUUAAAUACAAAAUUUUCAAAUCACUUAUUUAAAUUUGGCUUUUUCUUGGCUCUAGUAGUGGAUUAAAUAUAAUGUAUAGAGGAAUCAUAGAGUGUACCCUUUAUGCCCAAAUUACUUGGACUAAAAAUGUCUUUGUAACAGAUAAAAGACACUCCUAGUAUGUUGAAGAAAAUCACAAACAUGUACACAAGAUCAAAUAUAAUAAUUAUCUUUCACUUUUUUGAGUUAAAGGAAAGCACAAUAGCAAAUAAAACAAAAACAGAUAAUCACCCUAGAAUUGCUUCCAAAUAAUUCCUCUAUCAAUGCAUUAUUUCACACCAUUAAUCAACUAUGAAAAUCCUUGAAAGGCAGACUAGAUCCCCAAGAUUGAAGCAAAAUGAAAAUCCUAGAAUUGCAAACCCUAUUUUUUUGAUUGGAACAAAAACAAAAAUUGCAAAAGAAGAUUGACAUGCCUAAUUGCUCCCGUGAAAGGAACAAUAGCAAGUAGUUUUAGAGAAAUGCUUAGAAAUCCAUUUGUGCCUGUCAAUAAUAUCCACCUUUUCAAGCUGCUAAUCCAUUAGUCACUAAUGGCUGACUUGGUAUUAAGCUGGACAAUACAAACAGCCCAUUCAUUGCAGGGAAAAGUAAAGAACUAAAUUUUUGUUGUUGUUGCUAUUAUUGUUUUGCUUUUUUUAGGAUAAAAAGUAGCAGUAAAUGGAUUUGGGAUUGACAAAAAGAGCUGAGGGAGGUAAUUUCAACAAUUUGCAAGAAAAUGUAAACACAGAUAAUCUUCCCCAUAAAAAUUAAGUUGACUCUAACUUUCAUGAUCACCGUUACGUUAUACAUGCAAUACUAUUAAAGAGGGAUAAGAAAUAUCAAAGGUGAGUAAAGAGUUUUAGUAUCUUUACCAUGAAGAGAUAGAUUUUUCUUAGCAUCAUUUAUGUAAAAUGUUGUUCUGUUGUGCCAGCAAAAGCAAUACAAUAUUUAAAAUCAAAUUACACAUCGAAGAAUUUUAGACAACCACAAGAGAGCAAUUAACAGUAGAGGUGUGAAGGAAAUUUUGUUCUUUUAAAUGAAAGAGUGGCGAAAGAAUAAAACCUUGGUGUCAUUUCCAAUGAAUAGUGACUUCCAAGAUUGAUUCUUGGAUGGUAGUCCUGCUUUAAAAGAAAAAAUGUGCGUCUUUUGAGCUGAGCCCACUCUGACUCAGCACAUUGUUAGAGAAUAACAAUAGUGCCAUCUACUGUCAAAUUAUGGUAUCACUUAUUUCAAACUGACUUAAAUAGGGGGUUCCAUCCAAUACUGUAAAAGAAAUCUUAAAAUUAUAUAAGUAAUAUUUAUCUAAAAUAUUCAAGAAAAUGAAGAGACUCUUUCCACAUAGGCAAGAAUUUCGUUCUGUGCUUUCUUCCACUAGUUAUUCUUCAUGCUCUUAUAUAUUACUUAAAGCACUGUUUUACAAGCGUUAUAAAAAAUAAAUUGAAAAUGUACCUUACAUGGCAGCAGUAAAGAUUUCAUGGAUAAUUUUGAAUUAAUUGUCCCGUAUUUCUAAGUUUAUUUUUUCAUUAGUUUCCGGGCUGUUUCCUAAAUCUAAUUAGCAAUGUAAUUUUCCUUGUUAAAUUUGGAGAAUUUGUUUUGGGAGACAACUGCACAAAGCAAGAUAGUAAAAGAAACAUAUAGAUGUGUUUAUAACAUUAUGGUAUUGCUGCUAAGCACUGUCAAUAAUGAGUUUUAAACGGUAAUUGUGAAUCCCUAAUGUACUUUAUAUAUUAACUAUCCUAUAGAAGAAAGUUUGAAGUCACAGAAUAAAUAGACCCCAUACAUGUAAUUCUAAUUAAAAGGCAU